UGGGGGAUAUUGCGGCAAUGGGGGCAACCCUGACGCAGCAACGCCGCGUGAAGGAUGAAGGUUUUCGGAUUGUAAACUUCUUUUAUUAAGGACGAAUAAUGACGGUACUUAAUGAAUAAGCUCCGGCUAACUACGUGCCAGCAGCCGCGGUAAUACGUAGGGAGCAAGCGUUGUCCGGAUUUACUGGGUGUAAAGGGUGCGUAGGCGGCUAAGCAAGUCAGAUGUGAAAUCUAUGGGCUCAACCCAUAAACUGCAUUUGAAACUGCAUAGCUUGAGUGAAGUAGAGGCAGGCGGAAUUCCCCGUGUAGCGGUGAAAUG
rnacentral:rRNA from 1 species